rnacentral:rRNA from 1 species
GCCUGGCGGGUGCUAUACAUGCAGUCGAGCGGACAGAUGGGAGCUUGCUCCCUGAAGUCAGCGGCGGACGGGUGAGUAACACGUGGGCAACCUGCCUGUAAGACUGGGAUAACUCCGGGAAACCGGGGCUAAUACCGGAUAAUUCUUUCCCUCACAUGAGGGAAAGCUGAAAGAUGGUUUCGGCUAUCACUUACAGAUGGGCCCGCGGCGCAUUAGCUAGUUGGUGAGGUAACGGCUCACCAAGGCAACGAUGCGUAGCCGACCUGAGAGGGUGAUCGGCCACACUGGGACUGAGACACGGCCCAGACUCCUACGGGAGGCAGCAGUAGGGAAUCUUCCGCAAUGGACGAAAGUCUGACGGAGCAACGCCGCGUGAGUGAUGAAGGUUUUCGGAUCGUAAAACUCUGUUGUUAGGGAAGAACAAGUACCGGAGUAACUGCCGGUACCUUGACGGUACCUAACCAGAAAGCCACGGCUAACUACGUGCCAGCAGCCGCGGUAAUACGUAGGUGGCAAGCGUUGUCCGGAAUUAUUGGGCGUAAAGCGCGCGCAGGCGGUUCCUUAAGUCUGAUGUGAAAGCCCCCGGCUCAACCGGGGAGGGUCAUUGGAAACUGGGGAACUUG